rnacentral:sRNA from 1 species
CCCCAGUUCACCCUUUGUUGCCCCAGUCUCUCUUCCUCACCCCUGCCUCAGGAUGCCUGGCUCUGAGCCACCCUGCUUUGGCGCAGGUUCUCCCCGGAGGUGCUGGGCCUGUGUGCAAGCACAGCGCUGGUGUGGGUGGUGAUGGAGGUGCUGGCCCUGCUCCUGGGCCUCUACCUGGCCACCGUGCGCAGUGACCUGAGCACCUUUCACCUGCUGGCCUACAGUGGCUACAAAUACGUGGGAAUGAUCCUCAGUGUGCUCACGGGGCUGCUGUUCGGCAGCGAUGGCUACUACGUGGCGCUGGCCUGGACCUCAUCGGCGCUCAUGUACUUCAUUGUGCGCUCUUUGCGGACAGCAGCCCUGGGCCCCGACAGCAUGGGGGGCCCCGUCCCCCGGCAGCGUCUCCAGCUCUACCUGACUCUGGGAGCUGCAGCCUUCCAGCCCCUCAUCAUAUACUGGCUGACUUUCCACCUGGUCCGGUGACCCCCUGGCCCCAGAUGGCACUGAGUUUUUCAUUCAUUGAAGAUUUGAUUUCCUUG